UUGUGUUGCACUACAAAUACAUACAGUAUGUUGUUGUAACUGUAAAUUCUAAAACCAUGAUUGGUGAUAUUUUUCUUUUUAGCAUGAAAGACUCAUAUUACUGCCAAAAGUAACACCACUGAAUGCUUGCAGCCAGUAGUUAAUCACUGCUCAUCACCUUCCAAUCACACUUGACCAGAUUUGCCUAUCCUUUUUAUCUAAACAGUUCCUCUUAUGUUGUUGUUAUUAAAAUUUUUUAACAUUGCUGCCUAAAAGUGAAUUGCUGUCGCCCUUCUGGAAACAACUAGAAAAUAACCUCAGAAAAAGUCACACUUAUCAUCACUCAAAUUGUUUUACUGUUCAAGAUGAAGAAAACAGUGAAAUCUGAAAUUCCUGUCACUUUAGUUAUUUCAAUUAGAUAAAAAACAUAAACUCAUUUAAAAUUACAUCAUAAUGCUUUCACACAGCCUGGAAUACUAAGUAAACAGCCAGUAUCUACGUGUUGGGGAAAGUAGAACGUGUGAGAUGGCACAGAGCUGGAAGGAGGCUUGCUCUCAGCAUUUAAAUGGACACGGCAGACAUGACUAUGUAUGCAACUGCAAGAAUAAACUUGCUUCAAAAUAAAUAAAUAAGCUUUCUUUGACUGUGAUACAUAAAGAUGCUGGCCCACAUCUGAGAUUUUACAGUGGCUGAAGGUGGAAAGGCUGAUGGAUCGUGAGAUUUCACUGUAGAUGAGGUGCCUUUUAGAACAAUAAAGUGAUUUAUGUAUACUGAAGCAUAUUGAAGCAUGCUGCAGCUACACUGAAAGGCUGCAACAUGUAGAGCCAGAUGCACACAUAAUGGCUUGAUGUCAGAUUCAUUGUCAAGCUAAGAAAGACGACUGUUUAUUCUAACAAUAGCAUAUAUUACCUGGUCUGCCAUGUCUCUGAAAACAUCAGUGAGCUACUGUACCUUCCAGCUCUGUGCUUUUCAUCUGUAGCUUGCUCUGUCCACAAUGUGCCACCUUGCAUGUUCUCAUUUUCCCAUUUUAAAUUGAUGCUGCCUGCGUACUUGCUAUACUGACAUCCUUUCAGCCAUAUCUGGCACAUGUAACCCUUCAUUCAGAACUGUAUCACAUGUUAUAAGCAGAACAAAAGCAUUAUUAAGCAGUUAUUCACAAUAAACUAGUAAUGCCUUUUUACUUCGGGCAAGUGAAACAAACCCAAAAAAUCUUAACAUCAAAUUUUGAAUUGCUGCAGGAGCUGCCACUUUACCCUGAAAGGUGACACAAAAGAUGGUAAGGGAGACAGACACCAAUAAAGCACAGAAGCUCUGAGAAAAUGUAGCAGUGCCUGAUGGUAAGACACACGUGCAAUAACACAAAAGAAAACUAUGUAAACAUUUACCAUAAAGAUGGUAAAAAUCUAUGCUGACUGCUGAUGAAGAGUGUUUUCUAAUAGGACUACAUGCCUUGGUGUUUACAAAUGUUUCCAUAUCCACAGAAAUAUGUCAUCCAUUUCUCAAGAACAUAAAAGCAGCUUGGAUAUCAACAGCGUCAAAUUAGACCUUGCAAAGAAGCAAGUUAUGUGAUCAUCAAAACAACGACUUUGCCUCCAGAAAAUGUAGAAAUGUGCUGCUGUGAAGUGUAACACAGA